rnacentral:tRNA from 1 species
GGGCGCUUAGCUCAGCUGGUUAGAGCGCUUCGUUUACACCGAAGAGGUCGGGGGUUCGAGUCCCUCAGCGCCCA